rnacentral:rRNA from 1 species
AGGACGAACGCUGGCGGCGUGCUUAACACAUGCAAGUCGAGCGGUAAGGCCCUUUCGGGGGUACACGAGCGGCGAACGGGUGAGUAACACGUGAGCAAUCUGCCCUUCACUUCGGGAUAAGCCUCGGAAACGGGGUCUAAUACCGGAUAUGACUGCGCCAUGCAUGUGGUGUGGUAGGAAAGUUCUGGCGGUGAGGGAU